AUUGAACGCUGGCGGCAUGCUUUACACAUGCAAGUCGAACGGUAACAGGUUAAGCUGACGAGUGGCGAACGGGUGAGUAAUGCAUCGGAACGUGCCCGGUCGUGGGGGAUAACGCAGCGAAAGCUGCGCUAAUACCGCAUACGAUCUGAGGAUGAAAGCGGGGGACCGUAAGGCCUCGCGCGAUCGGAGCGGCCGAUGUCAGAUUAGGGAGUUGGUGGGGUAAAGGCACACCAAGCCAACGAUCUGUAGCUGGUCUGAGAGGACGACCAGCCACACUGGGACUGAGACACGGCCCAGACUCCUACGGGAGGCAGCAGUGGGGAAUUUUGGACAAUGGGCGAAAGCCUGAUCCGGCAAUGCCGCGUGCAGGAAGAAGGCCUUCGGGUUGUAAACUGCUUUUGUACGGAGCGAAAAGGUCUCCUCUAAUACAGGGGGCUCAUGACGGUACCGUAAGAAUAAGCACCGGCUAACUACGUGCCAGCCGCCGCCGUAA
rnacentral:rRNA from 1 species